rnacentral:tRNA from 1 species
AUUAAAGUAGUUUAAAAAGAACCUUGAACUGUGACUUCAACAGUGCAUAGCAAUGCCUUUAAUA